UACGUAGGUGUCAAGCGUUGUCCGGAAUUAUUGGGCGUAAAGGGCUCGUAGGCGGUUUGUCGCGUCGGGAGUGAAAACCAGGUGCUUAACACCUGGCUUGCUUUUCGAUACGGGCAGACUAGAGGUAUGCAGGGGAGAACGGAAUUCCUGGUGUAGCGGUGAAAUGCGCAGAUAUCAGGAGGAACACCGGUGGCGAAGGCGGUUCUCUGGGCAUUACCUGACGCUGAGGAGCGAAAGUGUGGGGAGCGAACAGG
rnacentral:rRNA from 1 species